UCCUACGGGGGGCAGCAGUAGGGAAUUUUCGUCAAUGGGCGCAAGCCUGAACGAGCAAUGCCGCGUGAACGAGGAAGGUCUUCGGAUCGUAAAGUUCUGUUGAAGGGGAAAAAGAGCGGAGAGAGGAAAUGGUCUCCGAUUGAUAUUACCCUUCGAGGAAGUCACGGCUAACUACGUGCCAGCAGCCGCGGUAAUACGUAGGUGGCGAGCGUUAUCCGGAAUGAUUAGGCGUAAAGGGUGCGUAGGCGGCCUGCUAAGUCUGGAGUGAAAGGUACCGGCUCAACCGGUACAGGCUCUGGAAACUG
rnacentral:rRNA from 1 species